rnacentral:lncRNA from 1 species
GCAUAUGGAAGUUCCCAGGCUAGGGGUCGAAUCGGAGCUGCAGCCGCCCACCUAUGCCUGAGCCACAGCAACAAGGGGUCCGAGCCGUGUCUGCAACCUACACCACAGCUCAUGGAAACACUGGAUCCUCAACCCACUGAGCCAGGCCAGGGAUGGAACCCGCAACCUCAUGGUUCCUAGUUGGAUUCGAUAACCACUGUACCACGACGGGAACUCCCCAUAACCAUCUGGCAAGGUUCCCGAACUGGUUCCUUACCUGGCAGGUAAAUAAAUUCAUUUGCCUUGUCCAUCCCUGUGGUGGUUUUCUUUCCUUCAACCAAUUUAAAGUGGAAGUUAUAAAUGUAGUUGGCCUUAGCAUGCUGUUUUCAUGCCUUUUCUUUCCCGAAAAUAUGCUCUAUCACUUGCUACAAUUUCUUGUUUUCCAGCAUGAAAUACAUAUCCUUAUCUUUUCUUAGAUUAUCACUUGAAGAUAUCAAACAAAAAAAUAGGAAAGUAUGAGAAAACCAUAAAUCCUAUCUCCAAAUCCUGAAAGCAUAAGACAGAAAAUGGUGACAAAAUUAAGUCUAAUGAAUUUUUGGAGAUUCUGUAAAGUAAUACCUUCACACAGAAAGGAAAAAUAAGGCACUAUCAUAAUGGAAGGCUUUUAAUAUGGUACAAAUUAUCUGAGUGACGUUACAUCUAAAAUUAGAAAACACUUAAAUUGAAGGCACUGUCAUUUAAAAAAAAUUUUUUUUAGGGCCGCACCUGUGGCAUAUGGAGGUUCCCAGGCUAGGGGUCAAAUCAGAGUUGCAGCUGCAGGCCUACACUGUAGCUCACUACAAUGCCAGAGCCUUAACCCACUGAGCCAGGCCAGGGAUCAAACCUGCAUCCUCACGGAUACUACAUUGGGUUCUUAACCUGCUGAGCCACAGUGGGAACUCUGACAUUGAAAUUUUAAUUAGUUUCCUCUAGAUCUUUCUUAGCUUUAAAUCCAUAUCCCUUGACCCCUGCAACGCCACUCCAAAUGACUUGACUUCUACACGUGUGCUAAUGUCCUGAGCAAAUACCUUCUUCUGCUGUGUUUCCUUAUCAGUCCCAACCAACCCACUGUCCCUGCAGCCAAGUUCUCAGAGUACGUCACACUCAGGUUCUAAUACGGCGUUUGUCAUGCUUUACUCUGGUUAACUACAUACAUUAUCUGCUGUUCUAAUAGGGUUUGUGUUUUGUAAAAGCAUAGGCUCUUUCUGAUUUAUUGCUGGACCCCUCACAGCAUCUGGCACAGUUUCUGGUAACCUUGGUGAUCAUUAAAUUUGCUUCUAGCGUAUGAAAAUUUGUUAGAAGAGAGUACAUGAUGCCAUGGAUCUUUCUACGCCCCCACAGCUGUGCUGGUGAUGGCCUGCCUGAAUGUCACACGUUACUGUGUAUAGUGUGUAUGUGUGUGCAUCCUUAAGUCUGAAAUUCCAAAUGACUGAAAUUUACAGACAGCUAUCAAUGAUUUGUUAAAUAAAUCACUCAGCAUUUAAUUAAUAAAUAUCAUGUGACCUGCAAACUUCUCAUGUCCCAUAAAUGAUUCUAUUUGAUUAAAGAAAUAUAAACACAAUCAUAAUGUAAAAGCCUAGAAUUUUUCUUUGUUAAAAAUAUUACUAGUAAUCCAGGACACACAGAAAGCAUUUGAUAAAUGAGUUGAUUAAUUAAUAACUGGGCAUUUCUUAGGCUUCAUAUGGAUUACACUAUUUUUCCUUACUGAUACACUUUCCUAUGAUACAAAUUCUAAUUUCUGCCAACUUUGGAUUGAAAUGACUUUUUAAGUUAUUUACUAAAAUUAAUAAUAAUUAAGCAUAAUAGGUCGAUCAGAGAAGAAAAAGGGGGAUAAUCUAAAAACAGAGUAGUGAUAUUCUUUAUAAAUUUACGGUGAGACAGACACAAAGGGACAAACAGUUGAAUUUUGAUGGACGUAGGUUCAACUCUUAGCUCUGUCACUGAACUAGUUGGUGACGUUGGUAAAUGAUUCUAAUAUCCCUGAAUCAGAGAAAGAAAGAUAAAAUUGAACACUGUGAGGAUUAAAUAAAAUGAAGGAUGUAAAGUUGUAGGUGGAGUGACUAUCACACUGAGACACGUGAUUUUCAUUGAGCUCUUUUAGUUAUCACAUCUCUUUCUCUGUCAAAUUCUGGGUUUGGGGCUUAAGCAUCUUUGGUCUCAGGAACGACUAAUGAAGGAUUUGCUAGAGCUACUGCAUCUUAGCUAGGCUUGAGGGCAUCUUCUAUUCUGGUCAAGUCAAUGGAGGUAACCAAGCUUCCACGACCGCUCAGAGAGGCAGACACGAAACCAAGACAAAACAAGCCUUGAGGGGAGUAGAGCAGGUGAGGGGUGUGAGAGCUGACCAGCUUUACUUCCCCGUAUCAGCCAGAAACCAAGCAGCUCAGUGCUUAGUUACUCACAUGGACUCAUGACCUGUUAAGAGCUGGGAAAGAAUGCUCAGGAAUACUGGCUUUACUAACAGGAGAGUCCGAGGCUUAGGGGCAAAAUAGCUUCUCUGAGGUUCUAGAGCUGGUUGGAGGCAGAUCCGGGACAGGAGCCCAGCUUUCCUGACAUCUGGUCCAGCACGCCUUCUUCUAUGCAGGCGUAUCUCUCCUUGCCUGCUUGAGGAAGGAGGUGAUACCCGCUCAAAUACUGAACUGCCAAGCCCUUGAUCAGCUCCUACCACGGCAGAAGCCUUC